UACGUAGGGUGCGAGCGUUGUCCGGAUUUAUUGGGCGUAAAGAGCUCGUAGGCGGUUUGUCGCGUCGGCCGUGAAAUCUCCACGCUUAACGUGGAGCGUGCGGUCGAUACGGGCAGACUUGAGUUCGGUAGGGGAGAUCGGAAUUCCUGGUGUAGCGGUGAAAUGCGCAGAUAUCAGGAGGAGCACCGGUGGCGAAGGCGGAUCUCUGGGCCGAUACUGACGCUGAGGAGCGAAAGCGUGGGGAGCGAACAGG
rnacentral:rRNA from 1 species